CUUGGCGACCAUAGCGUUUUGGACCCACCUGAAUCCAUUCCGAACUCAGAAGUGAAACGAAAUAGCGUCGAUGGUAGUGUGGGGUUU
rnacentral:rRNA from 1 species